rnacentral:rRNA from 1 species
GAUGAACGCUGGCGGCGUGCCUAAUACAUGCAAGUCGAGCGAAUGGAUUAAGAGCUUGCUCUUAUGAAGUUAGCGGCGGACGGGUGAGUAACACGUGGGUAACCUGCCCAUAAGACUGGGAUAACUCCGGGAAACCGGGGCUAAUACCGGAUAACAUUUUGAACCGCAUGGUUCGAAAUUGAAAGGCGGCUUCGGCUGUCACUUAUGGAUGGACCCGCGUCGCAUUAGCUAGUUGGUGAGGUAACGGCUCACCACGGCAACGAUGCGUAGCCGACCUGAGAGGGUGAUCGGCCACACUGGGACUGAGACACGGCCCAGACUCCUACGGGAGGCAGCAGUAGGGAAUCCUCCGCAAUGGACGAAAGUCUGACGGAGCAACGCCGCGUGAGUGAUGAAGGCUUUCGGGUCGUAAAACUCUGUUGUUAGGGAAGAACAAGUGCUAGUUGAAUAAGCUGACACCUUGACGGUACCUAACCAGAAAGCCACGGCUAACUACGUGCCAGCAGCCGCAGUAA